UGAGUCGGUUGGGUGGCCGCGGCACGGCGGGCAACUGACCGUGUCGAGGAAGGUCGGGACUCCACAGGGCAGGGUGCUGGAGAGAGACCAGUCGGGGCGAUCCGCAGGAAAGUGCCACAGAAAAGAACCGCCGAUGGCGAGCGCAAGCCCGCACAGGCAAGGGUGAAAAGGUGCGGUAAGAGCGCACCAGCGCACAGGGUGACCUGAGCGGCUGGGUAAACCCCACUCGGAGCAAGGCCAAACGUGGGACGGGCUGCCCGUCCAAUGUCCCCAGGUAGGCCGCACAGAUGGAUGGCCACCCAGGCGCUUCGGCGCUGGACAGAAUCCCGCCUACAGACCGACUCACCAU
rnacentral:RNase_P_RNA from 1 species